ACGGUGGGUGGCGAAGGAGGCUUGAUGAGC
rnacentral:piRNA from 1 species